rnacentral:rRNA from 1 species
GAUGAACGCUGGCGGCGUGCCUAAUACAUGCAAGUCGAGCGAACAGACGAGGAGCUUGCUCCUUCGACGUUAGCGGCGGACGGGUGAGUAACACGUAGGUAACCUACCUAUAAGACUGGGAUAACUUCGGGAAACCGGAGCUAAUACCGGAUAAUAUUUCGAACCGCAUGGUUCGAUAGUGAAAGAUGGCUUUGCUAUCACUUAUAGAUGGACCUGCGCCGUAUUAGCUAGUUGGUAAGGUAACGGCUUACCAAGGCAACGAUACGUAGCCGACCUGAGAGGGUGAUCGGCCACACUGGAACUGAGACACGGUCCAGACUCCUACGGGAGGCAGCAGUAGGGAAUCUUCCGCAAUGGGCGAAAGCCUGACGGAGCAACGCCGCGUGAGUGAUGAAGGUCUUCCGAUCGUAAAACUCUGUUAUUAGGGAAGAACAAACGUGUAAGUAACUGUGCACGUCUUGACGGUACCUAAUCAGAAAGCCACGGCUAACUACGUG